AUUGAACGCUGGCGGCAGGCUUAACACAUGCAAGUCGAGCGAGCGGCGGACGGGUGAGUAAUGUCUGGGAAACUUCCCGAUGGAGGGGGAUAACUACUGGAAAAGGUAGCUAAUACCGCCUACUAUCAGAUGUGCCCAGAUGGGAUUAGCUAGUAGGUGGGGUAAUGGCUCACCGAGGCGACGAUCCCUAGCUGGUCUGAGAGGAUGACCAGCCACACUGGGACUGAGACACGGUCCAGACUCCUACGGGAGGCAGCAGUGGGGAAUAUUGCACAAUGGGGGAAAUCCUGAUGCAGCCAUGCGGCGUGUGUGAAGAAGGCCUUCGGGUUGUAAAGCACUUUCGGCGGGGAGGCGGUACUCGCAGAAGAAGCACCGGCUAACUCCGUGCCAGCAGCCGCGGUAAUUC
rnacentral:rRNA from 1 species